rnacentral:snRNA from 1 species
GUGCUUGCUUUGGCAGCACACAUACUAAAAUUAGAACGACAGAGAUUAGCAUGGCCCUGCAAAGGAUGACACACAAAUUUGUGAAGCGUUCCAUAUUUUU